CGGCCGCCCUCGGGCUGGCGGAGGCGCCGGAGGAGCCCCCGAGCUGCAGCCGUCUCCCUCGGGCUGCUGCCGGUGCUGCGGGCGGAGGCGGCUCCGCCGCGUGUUGGGCGCUGCGAGCAGGGAGCGCUGCGGUAUCGCCGGCAUGGCGGGGCUGCUGCCUGCGUUAGUGCUCGUGGCUCUUUGUGCCGUGACAGCGGAUGGAGCGGCGCUGGGCGGUAAAGCCAGAGAUGGCCGGGAGAAUGCCCAGCGCAGGGAGCAGGCGGGCUGUAUGCUUCGGAUGGCACAGGGUACUCACAAAAUAUGUCUCCCUUAGUGUCCCACAGAAACAUUCUGGGUGAAAUCUGAAUUAAGUGCUAUGAGUCUUGAUAAAUUGGAGAAGUGCCCAAGAGAAAUUCAUCAUCCUGAGAUACAAAAGGUAGGAAGUGACUUUUUUUGGUUUGGUUCUUUUUCUUUAUUGUUUUCCGGAAAUAGAAGUAAUUAAGUAUAGAUACUACUGGUUUGUUUCUUCCAGUAGCUGAUAAUACUAAUACCAACAAUAAUAAUAAUAAGAGUAAAGUAAUACUACUUCAACUGUCUUUAUUUAUCCAUUGGACUGGCCAUUUUAAAUCUAAACUUCUAAACACAAAUCAAACCAUCAUCCUUGUAGAAUCUUUAAUAGGAGUGGGCUAAAGAUCCUGGUUUUGCUUACAGGAUUUAUUGGUUCAUGAAGAGCAAGAGGUAAGUACAAGCCUAACUACCCUCUAGCUCACAGACCUGCCCGGUGAAUAGAGCUUUGUUUUUUUGAUGGGCUUGUGAUGACUUUGAAAUCAAUUGCUCAUUCAUUACAGUAAAAAAAAAAAAAUUGUUUUGAACAUGACAGCAAAAAUAACUUUAAGCACAACUUAAUAAUAAUAGAUCACCAAUUUUAGUUAAUAAUUUUAUGCUAUACUCUUGGGUGAGGGAAGACUCGGACACUCAAUAUGAGAUCAGCAAGCUAUGUUUAUUGCAGAGAGUAUCAGACACUUAUAUAGCACAUAAUAAGCUUAUGAAUAUUCUGUAAGCCAAGCGAUCUAUCGGUUAAACUAUACCAUCAACUCUUCCUCAUUCCUUUGGGCCUACAUUCCCUAUUUCCCACGUCUCUCUGUCUACUUGUUAUCCUACCCAGCUAGGCCCAGGCACACGCUGUCUUGCAGGUGCAAAACUCAAAAAUACCUGUGUUCGGUACUUUCCCAGCUCCUGGUCGGCUAACGAGCGAAUGUCUGCGUGACCUCUGUCAUGGAGCCAUUUCUCCACAUUAUACUAUCAAAGUUUAAAGGUAAAUUAUUAUAUAUUAGGAGAUGGUAUAAAGUGUAUGUUGUAAUGUGUAGGAUAUAUACAAAGAUACAUACUUGAAAGUCCGUAGAGGAAACAAAUUUUUAUGCCUUCUGUUUGACUGUUUGUCAUAUAUUUGGUUUUAUUUCCCAGGGAUCAGUGAAUUUUAACUCUGGAGUCCUCUAUGCUAAGGAUGCUCAGCUUACAGAUGAUGAAAUGUUCAGUAAUGGUGAGUUUUUCACCUUCUCCUUCAUUGUUUUGCUCAUCUGAAUAAAAAAAAAAAAAAGGCAAGAUUAAAGAAAAAGCAAUAGUUUUAUUAUUUUUACCCUGUUAUGUCUGUUUCCUCAGUAUUUGCUGGAGCUGUGCUUACCCAAGGUUUGGGUAAAACAAGCUUUGGG